rnacentral:lncRNA from 1 species
CGGAGAGACUGCUCUGUGUGCAGGGUGGCCCCAGGACAGGAGCGAGGCCUGCAUGGCUGAGAAAAAAAAUGCUCCAGCUCUGCUGCAGAUCUGGGAGAGAGAGCAACUGUUCUCUGAAUUCCCUUUUGAGAGAGGAACCUUGUGAUUUCACUCUUUUGUAAAGUAAAUCUUCGUCAGAUUAAAUAUGAAGAUCCCUAUCAGAAGGCACUUGGCUUUGACGAGCCUGACAGAGUCCUAUGUAUCCUAUGUGCCUACAAUACGUGGGGGCUUGGGAGAGCUGGCAGAACCUGAUCCUUUUUGCUGGUGCGAAUCCUGGUGAAGCCACCUUUAAUUCCGAACUGCUAGCUCAGCUU